rnacentral:rRNA from 1 species
UGGUGGGGUGAUUUGUCUGCUUAAUUGCGAUAACGAACGAGACCUCAGCCUACUAAAUAGUUUAGCGAAUCCAUUCGUGGCUUCGUCGGAACUUCUUAGAGGGACUGUUGGCGUUUAGCCAAAGGAAGUAUGAGGCAAUAACA